CUGAAUGAAACAAUAUUUACUAUGCCGCUCGACAUAUACAACACAAUUUCUCAGAAUCUAAUACAUUAUCCCAAAACAUGGAAACUCACGGGACCACAAGUCUUUGAAUAUCUAACAAUGUAUAACUCCAGAAUAUCUAACAAGGAAAAGAAAUACAGAAAGGAAAAUGUUUAAAAUUUAGAAUAGAAAGGGACUCCUCGAUCUGCAUACACGGCAGAUGUACCUCGAUAUCUCUAGAGCAGUCACCUCGCCUCACGGGUAGUAGGACUGAGUCAAUGUACCUGGAUCUGCACAUGAAAAUUACGUGCAUAAAGAGCAUGAGUACACCAUAGCGGUUCUUAGUAAGUGCCAAGCCUAACUUCGGUCAGGUAGUGACGAGGAAGGCCAGGGCUCAACUGAGGUUAAAUAAAAUAUAAAGUUCAACACUAUAGAACAGAACAACAUGAAUAAGUGCAGCAGGAAAGUAACACAAGAUAUAAAGGGCAACAAUAACUAUUACAGAGACAAGGUAAACACAAAGAAGAAAUAAGGCCCAAUACCACAAUAACAAUCGAGGAUCUCUCAGGAUACCGUCAUGUAGUUCCAAAUAUACAUAUCCAAUGGAUCUUCUGGGAUCCCGUCCCGUAGUCCAACUCAUAGUGUGUGGGGAUAUACUGGAAUCCCAUUCUGUUGUCCCAAAUGUAAAUAUCUAGUACUAGGGGAAUCUACCGGGUGCAUUCCCGUAGUUCAAUAUAAAUGUAUAGGGGGUUCUACCGGAUUCCCAUAGUCAUAGUCCCAAAUGUAAACAAACAAGGGGGAGCUACGGGAAUCGCACAUUCGUAGUCCCAAUGUAUUCACACAGCAGCAACAAGAAAAAUACUCAAGAAUGUGAAAUUCCAUAGUAAGGCAAACAAGUAAGUCUAGCCUAGCAUGCUGCUCAGAAUUCAGGUAAAGCAGUUUGAUAGAUAAAGUAACUAAAUCACUUAGACAUGCUUUCCUAAGCUAACAACAGGCUUAAUAGUGCAAGAAAUAAAACACGAAAGAACACAUACUAGUAAUUACUAAUGAAAAACAGGAUUUUCAAUAAUUAGAACGAGUACGCAAUCAUCACCUCACAUAUAAGGCAUUUCAGUUACUAACAGUACCAAAUCCUUGGGAGAAGGUCCCAAACACAAGGUCAGACAAGCCACUUACCUUUACCAGUUCAAAAAUCAAUCUGAAACCAUGCUCUUUUCACAAGUACUCGACUCCAAAUGGCCCAAACCUAUUCAAUUCAAUUUUAUUAUGUGAAUAACACUUCAAGUAACCGAUUCUACAAAGAAAUUCUAAACUAAUAGGCGAAAUUAAGUAAAAUGACCAAAAUGUCCCUCGGUCCCACAUCUCGGAAUGAGGUAAAAUUUAUAUUUUCAGAAACUCAUACUCUCUCGAGUUCAUGCAUUCUAAAAUUAUCCGAAUCUUAAUUCAAAUUCCCAAUAAAAAGUCGAAUUCUAGGUCUAAGAACUUCCUUCCAACUUUUCCCCAAUUUUCAUAUCAAAUCGAAAUUUAAAUAAUGAAACUAACUAUAGAUUGAUGGAAUAUAACUAGAAAGGGUUAACUAAUUGUUACCCAAUCAUCUUACAUUCAAUUUCGUCUAAAAAUCGCUCUCUCUCUCGAGAUCCAAAUUGAAUUUCCAACUUUUGAAACUUAACCCUCGAAAUUUCAUAUUUCUGCCCAGCUAUUCCGCAUCUGCGGUACCGCUUUUGGGGACCAAAGGUCGCACUUGCGACUUUUCACUUAAAAGCCAGAUUCCACAUCUGCGAAUCCCUAUCCACAGGUGCGGUAGCGCUCCUGCGAAAAUUCCACCGCUUUUGCAGUUCGUGAUGAAACUCUCCACUCCCGCUUCUGCGACCACAGAGCCGCUUCUACGGUGCCGCACCUAUGGGACCCAAGUCGCAGGUGCGCUUAUGAUAGAAACCAGUAGCUGAAGCUACAACUCUAACUCUUGAAUUCUUCCGUUAACUAUCCGAAUUCAUCCUGAUGCCCCGAGACCUCAAUGAAAGGCACCAACAAGUCUAGUACCACUUUUCAAACUUAUACAAAUCCUUAAAACAUAUAAACAACAUACAAACAACGAAUCAACCACGGAUACAAGCCUAAAAAUCCCAAAACUCCAAAUAUAUGCUUUCGAUCAAAAAGUCCAUCAAACCUUAUCCGAAUGACCUGAAAUUUUGCACUCACGUCAUAUUCAAUACUACGAAGCUACUUCAACUUCUAGAAUUCCAUUCGAAGCUUAGAUCAUAAUCUCACUAUCGAACCAGAAACUUCAAAAUUCGACCUUUCGGCAUCUCAAUGCUAAAUUAGAUACGAACCUCCAUAACACAUUCCGGACAUUCCCCUAGAGCCCUAAAUCACCCAACGGAGCUAACGAAACCAUAGAAUUUCUAUUCCGAGGCCGUCUUUAUACUGUUCUGACCGUCAUACCUCCUUUUUACCUAUACCCCCGAAAGGGAAUAAAGCAGUUUUUCCAAUUAGAGGACAAUCGAAAUGAGAUUUAUUAUUUUAAAAUUCAUAGUCGCCACUUGGGAGAUUUGUAGUGUCCCAAGUCACUGGUUUAAUCUCGAAUCAUGGAAAAGAAUGACUCUAUUUAAUAGUUCGCGAACCAAAAAUCUGAGUAAGGAAUUCUGUUAACCCGGGAGAAGGUGUUAGGUAUUCUCGGGUUCCGUGGUUCUAGCACGGUCUCUCAACUGUCACAUCUGGCUUAGUUAUCUGAUUUUAAUACAUUUUUAAGCUAUGCGCCAAUUUUAACUUUUAAAUAUUUUUAUUUAGUUUUUAAAUAAAGUUGAACGUCGUUUAAAACGUUUCUUUGGAUCGCGUCACAUGAAAUGUACCCGCAAUCAUGAACACAUUUUAUUCAAUAUUUUGGGAUUUGAUUUGGGUCACAUGUAAUGCACACCCGAGUUUAAGAAGGUAAAAUUAUUAAAUAAUGCGCCUAGAAUCAACUAUAGUGUUGUUAACUUUCCGAGGGCCAUGAAAUUAGCUAAAUGGCACAUCUCAAGUUCUAAAUAUUUUAAAGACACAAUUAUACAAGGGCAACACAUUUAUCAUUUGUAUUUGCGUGGCGCAACUCAAUUUAUUUUUAAAGAAUAUUCAAACUAAAAGCUCGGGGUCCAUAAACUAUUUGUUAUCUUCUCUGGCUCACCUCCCAAUUAUUGGAUCUACUUAAUUACACUGAACAUGUCAAAAUUUAUACAUCAGUUCCACUCAAAGGGCCACCUUUCACAUUUAAUUCAGUUUUCCUUAAAUCUAUUAAACCAAAUAAAGCAAAGAUCAAGCCCAGAUCCUCCAAAAGAAACUUUGGGCAUGUAUCAGGUCCAGUCCUAGGUGCAGGGAAAGCCACGAGGACCUUGCCCAAGGAUCAAAUCCCGGAAAGGCCCAAAAUCUCAUUCUAGCUCCCAAAGGUAGGAACACGAGUUCCCUGGUAACAUAGGUGCAACUUUUAUUUCAGAUAAUCCAACCAUGUACAGAUUUUAAUCCUUAAUCCCAUUUUUACUCAUGACUAACUACUGAAUCAACAAUUGCCAGUAAAGCAACAGCUAAUUCGAAAUCACCUGCCAAACUUGAACACACUCACAUAAUAUCCGAAUUUUAAACUAAAACCCAUGUUCAAGACAUGGUAAUAAAACCCUUAGAACACUUUGAAAGAGAUCAUUGCUAUUAUACGAGUAACCUUUCAUGAUUUCUAUGCUACAUCAGUGACGAGAUCUCGGUGACAAUAGCCUAGCUAAACUACCAAAGGGAAUAUAAAACUUGUAGCUAUAGACAAUAUGAGAAAUUGACAAUUCCAAACAAUUCCUACAUUUAGCUAGCAUGGAUCACAAAAAUUAAACAAUAUUAAAGCUAAAAUAACUAAAUGAGAUAUGAAUACGUCACAAUCUGACAGUUCAGCAUUAAUUACAACCAUAUGAGAAUCGAAACUAAAAGGAAAUUACUAUGUAAAUGAACAUGAUUCAAUUAUUGAAUCAAAUAGCUAGGCAUGCAAACAUUAUGAGGAACGAAAGAAAGCAGAGGGACUUGCAAACAAACAAACAAAUCAGAUGUGCUACUUCAAACUCCCAUUUUUCAUUCCUUCACGUCAUAACCAAUGAGUUACAAAUUUGCGCACCUGGAAAAUGGGAAAUAGAGGUGAAGAGGUAACAACAGCCAACAACACAGAAUCAGUCGAGAAUAACAGUUUCUUAGCUCAGAAAAUGAUGCGAAACAGCCCAGAAAAGUAACUUCACAACCCAACAAAAAAAAUUUGAACCAGAAACGAACCAAAAAUAUUAGACACCAACUGAUUCAAACCAUUUUUUAACCUUCAAUUGCUCAAAUUUUAUCUUAAAAUGAAUACCACAGGAAUAUCUUGAGAUUUGCCAAUGGAACAGUGAUUUGUUUUUUGUAUUCUUCAGCAGUCUGAUUUUUGUAUUUUUUCUCUCUCUAAUUCCUUCCCUCUAAGGGAAGUUAAACAUGCUUUUAUAGGCAAACAAAAUAGGGCAGCAUAUCACAAAUAAAAUUUCCCCCUUAGUCCCUCUCUGAUUUUUGUUUUUGCCACUUAAUCCCUGAUUUUCUAAUUUAUUGGCCAAGUAAUACCUCUUUUCAUCUUCUAGGAGCUUAUUGGAUGAGCUUUGCUAAUUUUAGUCUUGCCUGGGGUCGGUGAGCCUCGAAAUGAGUCAAAAUCGAUGCUAACCAUUUUCUCUCAUGGAGAACAACCAAUUGGAAUAAGUUCUGUCCCAUUAAUAGCCCAAAAUAGCACUUGAACAAAGCACAGGACUAAACCCCAACUUUGACGUUAGAUUCCAGAUUUGGAGCUAUGGGUGAGGAUCCUGGGAAAGGUUUUACUAGCCUAGUACUUGACGGAGUAUGGGAAAGGACUGGUUAAGAUUUGGUGAGGUUUGAAGCUCCGCUUGCCUGUGAAAAUGGCGGAACUCGAAGAUGGAUAAGGUUGAGAUGACGGAGAAGAUGAGAGACCAAAGUGUUUGGACUCGGAGCAUUUUUGGACACUUUUAAGGGANN
rnacentral:lncRNA from 1 species